GACGUAGGGCGCAAGCGUUGUCCGGAUUUAUUGGGCGUAAAGAGCUCGUAGGCGGCUGGUCGCGUCGACUGUGAAAACCCGGGGCUCAACUCCGGGCCUGCAGCCGAUACGGGCAGACUAGAGUUCGGCAGGGGAGACUGGAAUUCCUGGUGUAGCGGUGAAAUGCGCAGAUAUCAGGAGGAACACCGGUGGCGAAGGCGGGUCUCUGGGCCGAUACUGACGCUGAGGAGCGAAAGCGUGGGGAGCGAACAGG
rnacentral:rRNA from 1 species